rnacentral:rRNA from 1 species
GACGAACGCUGGCGGCGUGCCUAAUACAUGCAAGUCGAACGAAGCUGUUUUAACUGGUGCUUGCACCGACUUAAACAACGGAGUGGCGAACGGGUGAGUAACACGUGGGUAACCUGCCCCAAAGCGGGGGAUAACAUUUGGAAACGGAUGCUAAUACCGCAUAACCACAGAAACCACAUGGUUUCUGUGUCAAAGAUGGUUUCGGCUAUCACUUUGGGAUGGACCCGCGGCGUAUUAGCUAGUUGGUAAGGUAAUGGCUUACCAAGGCAAUGAUACGUAGCCGAACUGAGAGGUUGAUCGGCCACAUUGGGACUGAGACACGGCCCAAACUCCUACGGGAGGCAGCAGUAGGGAAUCUUCCACAAUGGACGAAAGUCUGAUGGAGCAACGCCGCGUGAGUGAAGAAGGUUUUCGGAUCGUAAAACUCUGUUGUCAGAGAAGAACGUGUGCGAGAGUAACUGCUCGUGCAGUGACGGUAUCUGGCCAGAAAGCCACGGCUAACUACGUGCCAGCAGCCGCCGUAAAAC